GACCUUUUCCUCCGAAGAUUACGAUACUUCUAAAUAUGAUUUCCAUGCAAUGGAUCAAGAACUUGGAUCACUAUCAACAGGCCGUGGAAGUUCCCUUAAAUCUGCUGAGAUGAGAAGCCUUUGUUCUACAUCUUCACGCAGUUCAAGGGAAGAGGACAACCUCAAUAAAUUUGCUGCAACAAUGGAAAAGUCUGACUCUGAGCUGCCAAUGAAGGGUAAAGAAUCUCCACCACCAGCUGGUUCGCCACUGCAAGAGUACUUUGACCAUUCUAACAAAUUUCAUGCUGCCAACCGACUGGAUCAUGGAAACAGAAGUACGCGCUCAGAUGCAGAGAUGCUGAUGCAAAAAAG
rnacentral:misc_RNA from 1 species